CAGCCGCCGCGGGAAUACGAAGGGUGCAAGCGUUACUCGGAAUUACUGGGCGUAAAGCGUGCGUAGGUGGUGGUUUAAGUCCGUUGUGAAAGCCCUGGGCUCAACCUGGGAGUUGCAGUGGAUACUGGGUCACUAGAGUGUGGUAGAGGAUAGUGGAAUUUCCGGUGUAGCAGUGAAAUGCGUAGAGAUCGGAAGGAACAUCUGUGGCGAAGGCGACUAUCUGGGCCAACACUGACACUGAGGCACGAAAGCGUGGGGAGCAAACAGGAUUAGAUACCCCUGUAGUCCCUGUCUCUUAUAA
rnacentral:rRNA from 1 species